UUUUGCAUCUUAAUAGAUGGGAAAGACAUAAGGCAGUUGAGAUAACAGCUGAGCCAUAUUUUAAUUUAAACAUUUAUUAAACACUUCUUAGUUAGUAUAGCUACAAUGAUAAGUCUCCUUUCCCUUGAGCUCCUAGGGGAACUUUUAUUCUUGUGAUGAGCUCAUAAAAAUUGGUGCAUGGAACUGAAGCUAUGACAAAAUCCAUUUUCAGACUCAUUGGUCUGUAGACUCCUGAAUAUCCUGUGAAUAUUGAAGCCUGAUACUCGACUUCUUUAUAUUUUCCUUGUAUGGUAUUCACUGUUUGGAUGACAAGUUGUCUAAGUGAACAAUGUUUUUUAAUAUCACAUGCCCAGAAUAAUUCCUUUAAUACGAUUGACAUUACGGUUCUCACUGCUCCUAGUAACGUCACAUUAUUAUAGGUCAUGUACAUGGCUUCUUCGCCCUUUUUCCCUAGACUUAUCUCGGCAAGUCACUUCUUCCAGAUGACUCAACAGAGGAUGCUAAAUCAAGCAGAAUAUGGGCAGCCACUCUUUUGGAAAGGAUGCUGAGGAACAGGAGUUUGGUCUGAAGAAAUGAUCAGAAAUGACAUGAAGAUACAUGAAAUGAUAUUCAUCACAGCCUUAUACUGUGAAAAAUGAGAAGCAAUUGAAUUCUACAAAAAUGAGAAUAAUGGAUUAUGGAUUAUAAUAUGGAAUCCUGGGUAAUCACUAAAAUAAUGUCUUUGGAGAAUACAUACGGUAUGGAAAAUAUUGUCUGUAGGCUGCUUAAAUUGAUGUACGUUAUUUCUUUUUUUUUUAAUUUUUUUUUCAACGUUUAUUUAUUUUUGGGACAGAGAGAGACAGAGCAUGAACGGGGGAGGAGCAGAGAGAGAGGGAGACACAGAAUCGGAAACAGGCUCCAGGCUCUGAGCCAUCAGCCCAGAGCCUGAUGCGGGGCUCGAACUCACGGACCGUGAGAUCGUGACCUGGCUGAAGUCGGACACUUAACCGACUGCGCCACCCAGGCGCCCCGAUGUACGUUAUUUCAAAUAUACUAUAUUUCAUCUAAGAUACUAUUAUUUGGAAGAGGCAUCAUUUUCUCUGGCACUAAGAAAGAAAACAAUAAAAAUAACACCCAAGAUAUGAAAUCUUAGAAGACCCUGGCAUAAAGGUAGGCCGAGUCAGAAUAAAUGAGAAGUAGACUUGUCUCUGGAAAGGGACAGCAAAGAAACCAGUUGGUCCCCAUUCAGAGCGUGGUUCUAAUUCCUACCACCACCAUGAUCCAAAAAACUUCAAGCAGAGAGAAAAUGUCAUGCUCACAAUUGGUAAGUUCCCCCAAGUAAGCAAACAUCGGUCCUCUGGCCGAAACUGGACUUCAUGCAGAUAGCAAUCUUUUCUUUUGUAACUUUGUCAGUGAUUUUUUUUUUAGACACCUUUGCUUCUAAAAUGAGUUUCUAUAUCAGAAUUGUUAGAAAUGAAAAACUGUGUCUAGCGUGAAAGGCAUAUACUAAAUAUAUGCAAUUGGAGGGAGAUACUCCAAAAUUUAGCAGUGAAGCCCAAUGUGUUGGAUUACAUAUGUAUUUUACAAAACUUCUCCAUGAACAUUUAUUACAUAUUUUUAAAAUGUUUACCUUAAUUAGGAUUUGCAUAAUUGUUUAUAGUCUAUUUUCUUAAUUUGAUCUCCCCUAUUAGUAUAUUUUGAAUCGUUACCAACCUUUGGCAACAAAGCUCAGGCAUUUUAGACUUUCUGUAAUUUCAGCACUUUGGAAAAGAGCUGUGUUUAUUUUGGCUGCAGACCUGUGGGUUAUUACUGUCAGCAGGUGUGUGAAAAGUCUUCCAAAACCCUGGAUCCCUGCAUUGAGGGAUCAAAAAGAAAAGAAAAAAGGAGGGGUGCUCAAGAGCACAGGCUCUGGAGUGAGACCCAUGCUCCAAUUUCAGCUUUGACCCUUCAGUUGUAUGACCCUAAGCAAGUUAUUUAAGUGGUCGUAAGACUCAAGUUUCCUCAUUGUUACAACAAUGAUAAUUGUGUAAUGGAGAGAAUGAAACGAAACAAUGUCAAAGGCCCAUCAUGUAAUAUCCCUGUUGGGAUUCUAAAUCAAGGUCUAUGAGAGCAACUACUUGAAAAUGUGAUUUAUUUUUAAUGUCCCUUUGCUCUUCUUCAACGUAGUCACUCAAACAGUGAUCAUGCGUAAGAGAGACCUUUCAAAAUUUAUCAUCUCUUCAGUGCUUCCCUUUUUAAAUUACAUAUUCUCUAUUCCAGCAAAUAGAAAAAGGUCGGGGGUGGGGGAGGGAGAUACUCAUGAUGAGCACAGCCUUGAUGCAGAAAACAGAAAGGGAAAAUUUCUAGGCCGAUUUCACUGAACAAAGAUGCAAAAAUCCCCAAACCAAAAGGGCCAGCAAACCAAAUUCUGCAAUACACAAGUAAGUAUACACCAUGACCAAGUUGGAUCUAUCCAGGAGGAAUGCGGGGCUGGUCUGACAUUAGAAAAAUCCAUAUAAUUUGUCACAUUAACAGAAUACAUGAAAUAAAUAUGAUCGUCUCAUAUAGAUGCAGUAAACCAUCUAAUAAAAUUCUACAUCCAUAUAUCUUUUUGUAAAAAAGUAACUUUUAACAAACCAGAAGGGAACUUCCUAAAUCUGAUAAAAAUUAUGUACCAAAACCCUAAAAUAAACAUUAAUUGUAAGUUCUCUAGUGUGUCCCUAUUGGGUGCAGUUUGGAAACCUGUUUUGACUUCUUCCUUCAUUUUUUUUUUUAAUGUUUAUUUAUUUUUGAGAGACAGAGACAGAGUGCAGGUGGAGGAGGGGCAGAGAGAGAGAGGGAGACAGAAUCCGAAGCAGGCUCCAGGCUCCGAGCUGUCAUCACAGAGCCCGACGCGGGGCUCGAACUCACAAGCUGUGAGAUCAUGACCUGAGCUGAAGUUGGACGCUUAACCGACUGAGCCACCCAGUUGUUGGCACCUACCCAAGAUGUUCCUUGGGGUAUGUGGCGGAGAAGCUGUCCCAAAGCUCUGUGUAGUGGCCGAGAGGAUCUCACUGAAGAGCUGAGAACAGUAUGUCAGAGAG